rnacentral:rRNA from 1 species
GGUUGAUCCUGCCAGCAAUCAUAUGCUUGUCUCAAAGAUUAAGCCAUGCAUGUCUAAGUAUAAGCAAUUAUACAGCGAAACUGCGAAUGGCUCAUUAUAUCAGUUAUAAUCUACUUGAUCGAUUCUGUUAUUUGGAUAACUGUAGGAAUUCUAGAGCUAAUACAUGCAAGAGGACCGGAGCGGGGGCAACCUUGUGAAGGUCGCGUUUACUAGUAUAGAAACCAAGAUGGGGCGUAAGCCUCAUUUAACAGAUGACUCAUAGUAAGCUUGACGCGAAUCGAGGCUUAGGUCU